UACGGGGGGGGGUAAGCGUUGUUCGGAAUUACUGGGCGUAAAGGGCUCGUAGGUGGCCAACUAAGUCGGACGUGAAAUCCCUCGGCUUAACCGGGGAACUGCGUCCGAUACUGGAUGGCUUGAGUUUGGGAGAGGGAUGCGGAAUUCCAGGUGUAGCGGUGAAAUGCGUAGAUAUCUGGAGGAACACCGGUGGCGAAGGCGGCAUCCUGGACCAACACUGACGCUGAGGAGCGAAAGCCAGGGGAGCAAACGGG
rnacentral:rRNA from 1 species